GACAAAAUGUCGGUCAAAUUGGCCAUCAGUUAGCUAGCUCGCUCGUUAGCUUAGCCAUCGCCGCUCUUUGAACUUGACACGUGACGUCACAAAGAGCACCCCAGUCUUCGCCGUGUGAUUGGCGGAUUCACUUAUUUUAGGGCGGUCCUAAUAAUGGGAAAGACAUAAAUACCAAGUGAACAAGCAAAGCCCAUUCCGAGUGUCAUGAUGUAUGACCGAUAGUGGGAAACCAUUUGGCAAGUGGUGAGCACCGACUCGGCCAAGAUGCUGAACCAACGAGAGCAGGUCAGCGGUGCACCGUCAGUAGUGAGCAUCAGCCUCCUUCCUGUUGGAGUGAUAUUAAGACAGACCUUUUCAGAGCUGGUGCCGGGCCAGGUUCGCCAUCCUCCUGGACCUUUGCCAGCAAAUUCAAACACAAAGAGGAGGAAAUGCGCUGACACGUCCACCGCGCCUUACAUAAAAAAAAAAAAACGAACGCAUUCAUAGUAUUUAUGAAGGAGCAGCGGCCCUGUGGUCAAGGCUGCUGCGCCACGGCAAGACAGUGCCGCUGUCAACAAGGUCCUGGGGCAAAUGUGGAAGUCGCUGACGUCGGCUGUGCAGCUCUUCUUCCAAGAACCUGAGCGGCUCAUACCUGAGCGGGCAAAAAGCAAAAGAGCAAGUGGGCAGUGCAGCCACUAGUGUAAAUCAUCUGACCGGUCGGCGGUGCGCCGUCGGUGGUGAGCAUCAGCCUCCUUCCUGUUGGAGUGAUACACAACUGUAUCCAACUUGUUUGUGCCAUAUAAUGUGUCAAAUGUGUAUGAAUCCUUGACGUUUGCAUCUUCGCACACUUCCUGUUGUUCAACACGCGUGUUUUGACGUGUUUGUAGAUUAAGACAGACCUUUUCCGAGCUGGUGCCGAGCCCAGUUUGCCAUCCUCCGCCAGCGAAUUCAAAGGCAGUAUUCUCUGUAAAAUGUCUUUCCUUGCACAUGCACACAGAAGCGACAUGAUGCUUUGUUUUCCCUUUAGCACAAAGAGGAGGAAAUGCGGGGACACGUCCACCGCACCUUACGUAAAAAAAACCCCCGAACGCAUUCGUAGUAUUUAUGAAGCCGCUGCGCCACGGCAAGACAGCGCCGCGGUCAACAAGGUCCUGGGGCAAAUGUGGAAGUCGCUGACGCCGGCUGAGCAGCUCAGAUACUUCCAAGAAUCUGAGCGCCACCAGGUAGCCGGACUGGACCUACAGAGACAACUACGGAAAAAAGCAAAAGAGAAAGGGGGGCAGUGCAGCCACCAGCGUAAAUCAUCUGACCGGGUCGCGGGCGUGCUGGAUCCUAUCCCAGCUAUCAUCGGGCAGGAGUCGGGGUAAACCCUGAACUGGUUGCCAGCCAAUCGAAGGCCCAAUCAGCAAUCGGCCAGAGGAGGGAGUAUUUGCUGUUAUAAUUUGUAAUUAUACUAAUUGGGCAUUUCUUGACAUUUGAAUUUAUCUUGUCUAUGUUUUUCCAUGUUAAAAGUUAGUUAUUGCAAAUAAGUGCCGCUUCCCCACAUGAAAGGGAUGGAUUCAGCGAUGGAAGAUUUCAUCUGGAUUUUACUCAAUGACCAAGAAACAUUUUCCUUUUGUCUCAUUUUAAUUUUGCAUUGAGUAGUUUGACAGUGGCGGCACGGUGGCCGACUGGUUAGAGCGUCAGCCUCACAGUUCUGAGGACCCGGGUUCAAUCCCCGGCCCCGACUUGUGUGGAGUUUGCAUGUUCUACCCGUGUCUGCGUGGGUUUUCUCCGGGCACUCCGGUUUCCUCCCACAUCCCAAAAACAUGCAUAAAUUGGAGACUCUAAAUUGCCCGUAGGCAUGACUGUGA